UAACACGUAGGAGGCGAACGUUAUCCGGAUUUACUGGGCGUAAAGCGCGUGUAGGUGGUUUGGUAAGUAGGGCGUGAAAGCUCCCGGCUCAACUGGGAGAGGCCGUUCUAAACUGCCAAGCUAGAGGAUGGUAGAGGGAGGUGGAAUUCCGGGUGUAGCGGUGGAAUGCGCAGAUAUCCGGAGGAACACCAGUGGCGAAGGCGGCCUCCUGGGCCACUCCUGACACUCAGACGCGAAAGCUAGGGUAGCAAACGGGAUUAGAGACCCCGGUAGUCCUAGCCCUAAACGAUGUAGACUUGGCGUCGGUGGUUUAAACGCCAUCGGUGUCGCAGCUAACGCGAUAAGUCUACCGCCUGGGGACUACGGCCGCAAGGUUAAAACGCAAAGGAAUUGACGGGUCCCCGCACAAGCAGCGGAGCGUGUGGUUUAAUUCGUUGCUACACGAAGAACCUUACCUGGGUUUGACAUAGCAGUGGUAGGGAAGCGAAAGCGGACCGACCCUUCGGGGAGCUGUUACAGGUGUUGCAUGGCUGUCGUCAGCUCGUGUCGUGAGAUGUUCGGUUAAGUCCGCUAACGAGCGCAACCCUCGCUGUGUGUUACAAGUGUCACACGGUACUGCCGGUAUUAAGUCGGAGGAAGGUGGGGAUGACGUCAAGUCAGCAUGACCUUUAUAUCCAGGGCUACACACACGCUACAAUGGUCAGUACAAUAGGUUGCCAAGCCGCGAGGCGGAGCCAAUCCUAAAAAGCUGGCCUCAGUUCAGAUUGCAGUCUGCAACUCGACUGCAUGAAGUCGGAGUUGCUAGUAACCGCAGGUCAGCUAUACUGCGGUGAAUACGUUCCCGGGGAUUGUACACACCGCCCGUCAAGUCAUGGGAGCUGGCAACACCUGAAGCCGGUAUCCUAACCCGUAAGGGAGGGAGCUGUCAAAGGUGGGGUUGGUGACUGGGACU
rnacentral:rRNA from 1 species